GACGAACGCUGGCGGCGUGCUUAACACAUGCAAGUCGAACGGAAAGGCCCUGCUUUUGUGGGGUGCUCGAGUGGCGAAAGGGUGAGUAACACGUGAGUAACCUGCCCUUGACUGUGGGAUAACUUCAGGAAACUGGGGCUAAUACCGGAUAGGAGCACCUGCAGCAUGGGGUGGGUUGGAAAGUUUCGGAGGUUGGGGAUGGACUGGCGGUUUAGCAGCGUGUUGGUGGGGUGGUGGCUUACCCAGGCUUCGACGGGUAGCCGACCUGAGAGUGUGACCGGCCACAUGGGGACUGAGAGACGGCCCAGACGGCAACGGGGGGCAGCGGCGGAAAAUAGUGCAAAAAAGGCGGAAGCCUGAUAGAACGGCUCCGGGUGCGGAAAGACUGCCUUCGUGGUAGAAACCGCGUUCGCCUGUGACGAAGCGUGAGUGACGGUAAUUACUAAAGAAGCACCGGCUAACUACGUG
rnacentral:rRNA from 1 species